AAGUCGUAACAAGGUUUCCGUAGGUGAACCUGCGGAAGGAUCAUUAGCGAGUGGCUUGAGGACCGUUUUUUGGGACUCGGUUACCCGACCUUUAUGUCAUGUGGGCCGUCUGGAGUCGGAGACGAAUCUUCUGUUACCGGUGGAGUUUUCCCGAGCCGUUUUUGCGGUGGGGACGAAGGUGGUGAUGGAGGAGACGAGGAGGACGAGGACGGCAAGUAGUAUUUCGGCGGAAGCGGUAAGGAAGCGUGUCUUUUCUCUCUCUUUGGGAGAGGGGAGAGUGGCGAUCUGCCCGCCGCCGGCGGUAUUUCCCAGUCUUGUGAGGAAGCAUGAAGUCUGAAGGGAGAAAAGAAAGACCAAGAAAAGCAAAACUUUCAACAACGGAUCUCUUGGCUCUG
rnacentral:misc_RNA from 1 species